rnacentral:lncRNA from 1 species
ACUCUUCAUGGCUCAAUUUCGGCUCCCGGAGCUGGUUCUACCAGGGCCCCAGCACCGGUCCAGAGAGGAGGCCCCGGGUCCGCGCGUCUGGUUGUGUCGGGCGGUGCUCUCUGUCCUUCUCACUCCCCAGCCCUCCCUUCCAUUUCUCGGUUACCUGCGCGGCUGCAGGCGCCGCCGGGGACUGCACAGGUAAAAGUCUCGGCAAGUGAGGGCGCAGGUGUGGGCGCCUCCUGGGCCAGGCGGGCAGGGGAGAGGCCGACGGCACGUGCCUGGCUCUAAAAAGAUUUUUUUUUUUUAACAGGGAUUGUAUUGACAGUGGGGGCUUGGGGAGGGCAGACACGGACCCUGGGAGCGCUGCAGGGCACUGGGGGGAGAGAGGGGCGGGACUGAAGCCCCGGAGAUUGGGGGCCGGUUCCUUUACGGCCCCGCAGCUUGCGCAGGCUCCGUGGUGCCUGGGAGGUGGUGCGCCGGUUGGGUGGGGGCGGGUCCAGGCCGCGGCGUCGGAGAAUUGUCCCCCAUCCAGUCCCCGCGAUGACUGGGUUUUGACAGCCUCCCCUCCCGAGCGCGCACAUUCCCAGGUUUGCAGAAUGAAAAUCAAUAAAAUCGAUGCAGUGGCAAAGAA